rfam:Echinococcus multilocularis genomic scaffold, pathogen_EMT_contig_0168
GACUCCGUGGCGCAACGGUAGCGCGUCUGACUCCAGAUCAGAGGGUUGGGUGUUCAAAUCANGUCGGGGUCA